GAUGAACGCUGGCGGCGUGCCUAAUACAUGCAAGUCGAGCGAACAGACGAGGAGCUUGCUCCUCUGACGUUAGCGGCGGACGGGUGAGUAACACGUGGAUAACCUACCUAUAAUACUGGGAUAACUUCGGGAAACCGGAGCUAAUACCGGAUAAUAUAUUGAACCGCAUGGUUCAAUAGUGAAAGACGGUUUUGCUGUCACUUAUAGAUGGAUCCGCGCCGCAUUAGCUAGUUGGUAAGGUAACGGCUUACCAAGGCAACGAUGCGUAGCCGACCUGAGAGGGUGAUCGGCCACACUGGAACUGAGACACGGUCCAGACUCCUACGGGAGGCAGCAGUAGGGAAUCUUCCGCAAUGGGCGAAAGCCUGACGGAGCAACGCCGCGUGAAUGAUGAAGGUCUUCGGAUCGUAAAACUCUGUUAUUAGGGAAGAACAAAUGUGUAAGUAACUAUGCACGUCUUGACGGUACCUAAUCAGAAAGCCACGGCUAACUACGUG
rnacentral:rRNA from 1 species